rnacentral:rRNA from 1 species
GACGAACGCUGGCGGCGUGCUUAACACAUGCAAGUCGAACGGAAAGGCCCUGCUUUUGUGGGGUGCUCGAGUGGCGAACGGGUGAGUAACACGUGAGUAACCUGCCCUUGACUUUGGGAUAACUUCAGGAAACUAGAGCUAAUACCGGAUAGGAGCUCCUGCUGCAUGGUAGGGGUUGGAAAGUUUCGGUGGUUGGGGUUGGAGUCGCGGCUUAUCAGCUUGUUGGUGGGGUAGUGGCUUACCAAGGCUUUGACGGGUAGCCGGCCUGAGAGGGUGACCGGCCACAUUGGGACUGAGAUAGGGCCCAGACUGCUACGGGAGGCAGCAGUGGGGAAUAUUGCACAAUGGGCGGAAGCCUGAUGCAGCAACGCCGCGUGCGGGAUGACGGCCGUCGGGUUGUAAACCGCUUUCGCCUGUGACGAAGCGUGAGUGACGGUAAUGGGUAAAGAAGCACCGGCUAACUACGUG